AUUGAACGCUGGCGGCAUGCCUUACACAUGCAAGUCGAACGGCAGCACGGGAGCAAUCCUGGUGGCGAGUGGCGAACGGGUGAGUAAUAUAUCGGAACGUGCCCAGUAGUGGGGGAUAACUGCUCGAAAGAGCAGCUAAUACCGCAUACGACCUGAGGGUGAAAGGGGGGGAUCGCAAGACCUCUCGCUAUUGGAGCGGCCGAUAUCAGAUUAGCUAGUUGGUGGGGUAAAGGCCUACCAAGGCAACGAUCUGUAGUUGGUCUGAGAGGACGACCAGCCACACUGGGACUGAGACAAGGCCCAGACUCCUACGGGAGGCAGCAGUGGGGAAUUUUGGACAAUGGGGGCAAGCCUGAUCCAGCAAUGACGCGUGCAGGAAGAAGGCCUUCGGGUUGUAAACUGCUUUUGUCAGGGAAGAGAUCCUCUAGGUUAAUACCCUUGGGGGGAUGACGGUACCUGAAGAAUAAGCACCGGCUAACUACGUGCCAGCCGCCGCAGUAAUAC
rnacentral:rRNA from 1 species